rnacentral:tRNA from 1 species
CGCGGGGUGGAGCAGCCCGGUAGCUCGGAUGGCUCAUAACCAUCAGGUCGCAGGUUCAAAUCCUGCCCCCGCAA